rnacentral:rRNA from 1 species
UACGAAGGGGGCUAGCGUUGUUCGGAUUUACUGGGCGUAAAGCGCACGUAGGCGGUUUGUUAAGUCAGGGGUGAAAUCCCACAGCUCAACUGUGGAACUGCCUUUGAUACUGGCAAGCUAGAGUCCGGAAGAGGUAAGUGGAACUCCUAGUGUAGAGGUGGAAUUCGUAGAUAUUAGGAAGAACACCAGUGGCGAAGGCGGCUUACUGGUCCGGAACUGACGCUGAGGUGCGAAAGCGUGGGGGAGCAAACAGG